rnacentral:misc_RNA from 1 species
AAGUCGUAACAAGGUUUCCGUAGGUGAACCUGCGGAAGGAUCAUUAAAGAGUUGGGGUCCUCCGGGGCCCGAUCUCCCACCCUUUGUUGUCGCGAAUUUGUUGCCUCGGCGGGUUGUCUUUGUCAAAAAGGACGACGGGCUCCGGCCCGCCCGCCGCAGGACCAUCCAAACUCUGCUUUAACAAUGCAGUCUGAGAAGAUUUUAAUAAUAAAUCAAAACUUUCAACAACGGAUCUCUUGGUUCUG